UUUGAUACAAGUCAGACAGAUAUACAAACUCUCUGCCUGGCUCAAACAUAGUUUCAGGAUGUGAGAUGCUGUGACAAGGUGAGAGAAUUUCUGCAUUAACACAGGCCCAGCUGGUACCAGAGUAGUUCUUUAUAUGUAGUCAUUAUUCCUGAAUAGCACUUAAAAAAAAAACCCUAAACUGCUACAACAUUCACAUAUUCACCAUACAUUGGAAAAGGGGGAGCAAAAAGCUGAAAAUGUGUACUUUUUACUCCUUUUAUAGGUAAAGUCUUAAAUCCAUCAGAUCUGCCAAAACAGCUUUGUCAACAGCCGCAUGAUCUGCACACAGAAUCCUCACUCUUCCUGGCACUAAAGAAACACGGAGAUUAACCACAGGCAACAGUUGAGCUGGGUGCUGAAUGCCUCAUGUUUUACAUGCACAAACAUUCCCGCAACUUAAGCAUGUGAGAAAUUAAGAUAAAACCAGUAUAAAUAUUGGCAAACUCUGUAAGAAAGCAUUUGAGUGAGAAAGAUCUUUAAUAUGGGUAUAAAAACUUCAUCUCUGCAAGCCAAGUGCUCUUUCAAAGAAUAAAAUUUUGAAGGAAAGAGAUUCAAAGCAUUCUAGUGGAUAGUUCUUCACUGCUGCAGGGAGAUGGCUAGCUCUAGCUGCUCCACAGGAAUAGAUCAAACAGUCCUAGACACACACAAAAGCUUUCAUUACAAUGAAAGAAAAAAAAAGCACUUCUCAGCUUCCAGGUAGUGCUAUGAGCCUCUGCACUGGUAGUGACAACGCUGGAGAUCUGGAAGACCAGCACUCCAACAUUCACUUGCCCAGUUUGAGCGAGCGCUUUUACUGUGAUCAUGUGGAGCACUUGCCGAGGCUUUUCAUAAAAAGCAGCAACAGAUUGAGAAAUGGGCUGUAUCAAACACAAAUUCAUACUGAAUUGGCUCACUCCACUCUGCUCAACCUUCCAUAUAAACAUAGUCACUCUCUGUAUCAGCAAUUCAGAAAGUUUUAAAACAUGAAAAACCAUUUUAGAGAGCCACUUGACAUGCACACUUCUUCCAAGUAAAGCCCUCUUUAGGUUAUUAUUUGUAAGAUUUUACCUAGGUUAACUUAUAUCCAGAAAAUUUUAAAGGUCUGGUAAUAAAUAUCUAGAACCAUUGUGCAUUUUCAGUUUUUCCAUCAGCAACUGUUUAACUGAGCAGAGCCCAUCCACAGAACAUCCAUCUAUCCAACAGAUACACCCAAUAUGAGCAGUAUAGAGGUAACAGCCAUGUCUCUGAAUUCUGGCCCCAAUCCCUGCCAACCUCGACAUGGAAUUUUUGGCAAGGGUCUCACAAAACUGCAUGCGUAGUCAUUAAUAGAAGUCAUUCCAUUAAUUACAUCUGAAAAUUUACUUUAAACCCUGAGGACCACCCAAUGGCAUUUUAGCAAAGCACUGAGACUACUAUUUUUAUACGCUACUUUGAAAGUGUAAGCAUGCUGUGAACACCACACUAAUGUACCAGAGUGUAACUACUCAGUUUCACGUUUCCCAAUCUCCAACUGUGAGAAGUAGCAGUGCUUUCAACUUGACCUACAAUUUAAUAGAACCUUAGCACUAAUUAGUGAUUUCAGUUAAGAGUUCAGAUUCUAAUACUCUGCCACAGUGAAAUACAUUUUAGUUGUUACUUAGAAGUGGAAACACUGUCUGCUUUUGCCUUCUCUGCACUCUAAAUGUAGUCAUCUUUUUCCCGUUUCAAAAAGCUUCUUUAAAAGAAGUUCUUAAAAAAAAAAAAUAAGGUAGUUUAGAAAGCAGUAUUAUUAAUCUAUAAAAUUACAUCUCUAAACUAGACUGACUGUAAAACUAUAUACACCUUCCAGAAGAUAUCCCACACGUAAGACUAAAUCCCAAAUAUUGGAAUAAUUGUGUUGAUUCCAGCUAUUCGGUUCCAUACAUCUUGGCAUUCAAGUUACCAGUCUAAUAGCUGUUUUUCCUGACUUCAACUAACCAAGGGAAAAAAGGAGAGGUAAAAUUCCUGACCAAUAAUGUUCAUUAAAUGUGAAGAUAUCCCUAAAACUUAAAAAAAUAUGAUUGAGGAUAAAUAGCUAAGCUGUCAAUCACUUUUGCAACAGCUGCAGGAGAUAAUGUGCAAUCACGAUCUCUAAAGCUUAAAACACACUGAAAGGUUUUCCAGCUCAGGUAUUUAUUCGAACCACACUUCACUCUACCGUCAUUGGGAGAAAAAAAAAGAACUCAGCUCAUCUAUCCAGUGUUUAAAUGAUAAGGGAAAAUAAGGUGGUGUCACAGAUAUUUCUGUAAAGCACCUCUGUCUCACUACAGCAGCAAAGCAAGUUCCUAAUUAUUUCUGAUUAAGUGGGUUCUUUAUACUUAGAUAUCCUAGUAACUGACCAAUGAUAAAAACCUCAGUGUUCAGUGCAACUCAGACUUGUGCUGUGGACAGGUGUACAGCAUAACAUAACCAUUUGCUAUAAGGAAAUGGUGCCAAAAGGAACAGCUGAGGAAACAGUGUUUGCUAUGACAAACAUCCAGAGCCACUUUUCCUCCUUUCAAAGUCAUCAUUUGCUACAGUGUUUUUAAUCUGGUGAGAGCAGACAGGCUCAACCACACCAAACAUACUAUUUUUCUUGAAGACAAAGUUUUAUUGUUGAAAGUGUUAACUCAGCUUUCUGAUAGGUUUCCACUUUCCCCCAUAUUGCAGUAUUCCCCAAAGAACAGUCUUAGUGCAGAUACUCAACAAUUCCAGCUCUCUUGACUUCAGAAGCUGUGAAAAUUUACACCUACUCACGACCUGCCUCCCGAUGUUUCCAUGUUGAGACUGACAUAAGAGGUGCUCUGACACACAGCAUCACUACCUGUGCAGAUGAGAGCACCAACAAAGCAGUUAAUCUGCUUUUAAGUGGGAGUUUAAACCUUCUGUAUGGAUUAAAUCUCACAUGUAGAUGGCAAGAAUGAAAUUCUUGUUUGAGAAUUAAGUAACAUGAAAAGGAUUUGAGAUGUUCUCGGAACACCAGGAGUAUCAUAAAAUGGCAGUUUCCCCAUUUUUUGUAUUCUUCUCUAAGCAGCAUCUAAUUUGCACAUGGGGACCAUUUGUUAGGUUCACCACUCUUCUUGCUUUCUUCGGCUCCCCACAUAUUAAUACAAAUCUUGUCUUUAAGAUAAGAACCAUACUGGACAUUCCAUCUCAUGGAGUGACCAAUCCUCCUCUGAGCAAACAGGUUUGAAGAAAACAGGAGCAGAUGAAACAUAAAUCCAGUUUGUCUUCAGGGCAAAGCCACUGAUUUUCACCGUUUGUUUUAAUUAAGGCUUCACCAAAAAGAAAUAUAUAGUACCAUCUUUAAUAGCUGAAAAUUAGCACACUCCAUUCAGAAUAAAG